rnacentral:ncRNA from 1 species
GAGGGGGGACGACCCCCCCCCCUAAAAAAAUUGAGGGGGGACGACGUGUCCCCC